AACGAACGCUGGCGGCAUGCCUAACACAUGCAAGUCGAACGAGACCUUCGGGUCUAGUGGCGCACGGGUGCGUAACGCGUGGGAACCUGCCCUUAGGUUCGGAAUAACUCCCCGAAAGGGGUGCUAAUACCGGAUAAUGUCUUCGGACCAAAGAUUUAUCGCCUUUGGAUGGGCCCGCGUUGGAUUAGCUAGUUGGUAGGGUAAAAGCCUACCAAGGCGACGAUCCAUAGCUGGUCUGAGAGGAUGAUCAGCCACACUGGGACUGAGACACGGCCCAGACUCCUACGGGAGGCAGCAGUGGGGAAUAGUGGACCAUGGGCGAAAGCCUGAUCCAGCGAUGCCGCGUGAGUGAUGAAGGCCUUAGGGUUGUAAAGCUCUUUUACCCGGGAUGAUAAUGACAGUACCGGGAGAAUAAGCUCCGGCUAACUCCG
rnacentral:rRNA from 1 species